rnacentral:lncRNA from 1 species
CCCCUAUGUUCUAUUUUUAGCCAUGGCGGCCAUCUUGGUUGGUUGGCUUGGUCACCGGACACAAUUUUAAACUAGAUACCCUAAUAAUGAUUGUGGCCAAGUUUGGUAAAAAUUGGCCCAGUAGUUUCAGAGGAGAAGAUUUUUGUAAAAGCUAACGACGGACGACGACGACGGACGACGGACGCCGGACGCCAAGUGAUGAGAAAAGCUCACUUGGCCCUGUGGGCCAGGUGAGCUAAAAA